AACGCUAGCUACAGGCUUAACACAUGCAAGUCGCGGGGUAACGACGGAGAAAGCUUGCUUUUUCCGGGCGACGACCGGCGCACGGGUGAGUAACGCGUAUCCAACCUGCCCUAUACAAAGGCACAGCCCGGCGAAAGUCGGAUUAAUGCCUUAUGAAGUGAGAAGAAGACAUCUGAUUUUCACUAAAGCUGAGGCGGUAUAGGAUGGGGAUGCGUCCGAUUAGGUAGACGGCGGGGUAACGGCCCACCGUGCCGACGAUCGGUAGGGGUUCUGAGAGGAAGGUCCCCCACACUGGAACUGAGACACGGUCCAGACUCCUACGGGAGGCAGCAGUGAGGAAUAUUGGUCAAUGGGCGAUAGCCUGAACCAGCCAAGUAGCGUGAGGGAAGACGGCCCUAUGGGUUGUAAACCUCUUUAGUCCGGGAAUAAAGUGGGCGACGUGUCGCCUAUUGCAUGUACCGGAAGAAUAAGGACCGGCUAAUUCCGUGCCAGCAGCCGCGGUAAUACGGAAGGUCCGGGCGUUAUCCGGAUUUAUUGGGUUUAAAGGGAGCGCAGGCGGUCUGAUAAGCGGGCAGUGAAAGACGGUGGCUCAACCAUCGAGGUGCUGUCCGAACUGUCGGACUUGAGUACGUGCGAGGCAGGCGGAAUUCGUGGUGUAGCGGUGAAAUGCUUAGAUAUCACGAAGAACCCCGAUUGCGAAGGCAGCUUGCCAGUGCGCCACUGACGCUAAAGCUCGAAAGUGCGGGUAUCGAACAGGAUUAGAUACCCUGGUAGUCCGCACGGUAAACGAUGGAUGCUCGC
rnacentral:rRNA from 1 species